rnacentral:rRNA from 1 species
GGAGUGAACGCUGGCGGUAGGCCUAACACAUGCAAGUCGAACGGCAGCACAGUGGUAGCAAUACCAUGGGUGGCGAGUGGCGGACGGGUGAGGAAUACAUCGGAAUCUACCUUUUCGUGGGGGAUAACGUAGGGAAACUUACGCUAAUACCGCAUACGCCCUUUGGGGGAAAGCCGGGGAUCGCAAGACCUGGCGCGGAUAGAUGAGCCGAUGUCGGAUUAGCUAGUUGGUGAGGUAAUGGCUCACCAAGGCGACGAUCCGUAGCUGGUCUGAGAGGAUGAUCAGCCACACUGGAACUGAGACACGGCCCAGACUCCUACGGGAGCAGCAGUGGGAAUAUUGGACAAUGGGCGAAGCCUGAUCCAGCAACGCCGCGUGAGGGAUGGACGGCCUUCGGUUGUAAACCUCGUUUCAGUACCGACGAAGCGCCCGUUGUGGUGUGACGGUAGUACAGAAGAGCACCGGCCAACUACGUGUCAGCAGCCGCGGUAA